UUUUUAGUAUAAGUAUGCCUCAUGCAAUACUUGGGAUAUACUUAUACUAAAA
rfam:Macaca mulatta chromosome 12, whole genome shotgun sequence.